UGUUGAGCUACGUGGCGGGGAGCGGAGGCCGUGGGCUGCGGAACCCGGCGUGUCCUCCGGCUCUUCCAGGUGCAACAAAACCUGUCUCUUUUGAGGGUGCUUGAGCAAAUGUUUUUGAAACUUGUCCUGUCCUGGAAAGUGAUUGGAACAAGCUGCCAGAACUACGGUUACCAAUAACAAGCAUGUAGGUAGCUGCAGUGAACGUCCAACUUCGGGAGCUGUGAUGUUUAAUCCUCGUUGUUUUGGGUCCAGCACACAGUUUGGAAUGUAAAAUGAAGACUUGGUCAAGAAACCAUGAAGGGGGGGGCCUGGAGAGAUGGCUCAGUGGUUGAGCAUCGACUGCUCUUCCUGAGUUCAAAUCCCAGCAACCACAUGGUGGCUCAACAACCAUCUGUAAUGAGAUCUGAUGCCUUCUGGUGUGUCUGAAGACAGCUACAGUGUACUCAUAUAUAAUAAGUAAAAUAUUAAAAAAAACCAUGAACGGAAGCAAAUGGUGAAAAUUAGUAUUUAAUUUGGUAUCAAUAUGUUAUGUAGAAAUAAACGAUUUUAAUUGCUAUGAGCAUUAGUUUCUUUAAAAUGCGUGUCUUUAAAACACCAUUCUCAUAGUAAAAUAAACCUCAUCCUUCAUG
rnacentral:lncRNA from 1 species